AUGGGCCACCGUACAAAGAUGAAAAUAUUGUACACAGACAACCGAUGCCACAGAUUAACAUAGAAGAACUGAAUAUUUUCUUUCUACCAAGUCUUUUCACCACAUAAAGACAUAUGAAUAAGGCUAUUACUUCAGCUGACGUGGAUAUUAAAUAAUUCACAUAGACAUCCCCACCUAAGUUACCAACUUUCAUUGUGAUCCCAAAAUAAGUCAUACUUA
rnacentral:lncRNA from 1 species